rnacentral:lncRNA from 1 species
GUAAGUUCAUAUCGUAAAAUUAUAAUAGUAAAAAGUGUUAAAAAAUAAAAAGAAGAUAAAUAUUUAUAAUUUAGAGGGUAAAAUAGGUAUUUGGUAAUCUAAAAUUUGAAAAAUAUAAUUGAGUGGCCUUCUGAGUGCAAUAUGCAUAGUUCAAUGACUUUGUUGUUACAAACGAAAGAAAGAUAAAUUUAGAAGAUAAUUUGGGAUAGUUGAGUGACCAUGUGAGUAAUGGACCCCAAUAAGUUUUCUAUUUUUUUUUUUUAAAAAAAAAGAAGAAGUUUUGGAGCUUAUUCUAAUAGUUAAAAAUAUUAAAACUGGGUGUACUAUAUUUAAUGCAAAUAAAAAUCUGCAAUCACACUACUUUAUGCAGAUCAUCAAAGAAAAAUCUAAAAAGAGAUGAAAAGAGAAAAAUGAAAGAAAACACAAAUGGCCAUGUGUAUGCAUGCAACUUGUAGGACCAUAGAAUACUACUAUUACUACUACUACUACUACUACUACUAAUAAUAAUAAUAAUAAUAAUAAUAAUAAUAAUAAUAAAGUAUUAUUAUUAUUAUUUGUGGGGUGGAAAUUCGGCAAGGAAUAUUUCUCUUUUACAUAGUUAUGAAUAGUCCAACUUAACCUGCCAUUCUGUAGGGUCCAAUUUGACCUUUUUCUUACCAUUUCAGUAGGCAUAUCAGAGGCAAUUACUCCUACAACUUGUCUUCACAUUUUCCUGUCAAAAUUUUAAGAGAAAAAGAAAGCAAAAACUUAACUCUUUAAUCUUCCACUUUCUUUCGCUUUUGAAGCUGAAGAAUUUCUUUUUCCUAUUUUUUGAAUGAAGUGUGCCCAACGGUUAAUGAAAUAGAUGAAAAUAAAAUGUGAUGACUGCUAAAAAAAAAUCAAAUGGUUUCUUCUCACCCAUCUAAUAUUUGAUGGACAUAGUUGCUUGAUACUUCUAUUAAUGGGAGGUGAUUAUGAGUCAA